rnacentral:rRNA from 1 species
GAUGAACGCUGGCGGCGUGCCUAAUACAUGCCAGUCGAGCGAACGGACGAGAAGCUUGCUUCUCUGAUGUUAGCGACGGACGGGCGAGUAACACGUGGAUAACCUACCUAUAAGACUGGGAUAACUUCGGGAAACCGGAGCUAAUACCGGAUAAUAUUUUGAACCGCAUGGUUCAAAAGUGAAAGACGGUCUUGCUGUCACUUAUAGAUGGAUCCGCGCUGCAUUAGCUAGUUGGUAAGGUAACGGCUUACCAAGGCAACGAUGCAUAGCCGACCUGAGAGGGUGAUCGGCCACACUGGAACUGAGACACGGUCCAGACUCCUACGGGAGGCAGCAGUAGGGAAUCUUCCGCAAUGGGCGAAAGCCUGACGGAGCAACGCCGCGUGAGUGAUGAAGGUCUUCGGAUCGUAAAACUCUGUUAUUAGGGAAGAACAUAUGUGUAAGUAACUGUGCACAUCUUGACGGUACCUCAUCAGAAAGCCACGGCUAACUACGUG